rnacentral:rRNA from 1 species
UACAGAGGGGGCAAGCGUUGUUCGGAAUUACUGGGCGUAAAGGGCGCGUAGGCGGCCUUCUAAGUCGAACGUGAAAUCCCCGGGCUCAACCCGGGAACUGCGUCCGAUACUGGAAGGCUUGAAUCUGGGAGAGGGAUGCGGAAUUCCAGGUGUAGCGGUGAAAUGCGUAGAUAUCUGGAGGAACACCGGUGGCGAAGGCGGCAUCCUGGACCGGUAUUGACGCUGAGGCGCGAAAGCCAGGGGAUCAAACGGG